rnacentral:misc_RNA from 1 species
UACGUAGGGCGCAAGCGUUAUCCGGAACUAUUGGGCGUACAGAGCUCGUAGGCGGUUUGUCGCGUCUGCCGUGAAAGUCCGGGGCUUAACUCCGGAUCUGCGGCGGGUACGGGCAGACUUGAGUGAUGUAGGGGAGACUGGAAUUCCUGGGGUAGCUGUGAAAUGCGCAUAUAUCAGGGGGGACACCGAUGGCGAAGGCAGGUCUCUGGGCAUUAACUGACGCUGAGGAGCGAAAGCAUGGGGAGCGAACAGG